AAGGGCGCGUAAACCUGCGAUAAUUUCUAGUAAGUUGGAAAAAAACAUUGAUCUAGAAGUUCCCGAAUAGAGCAAUCUUUAAAACUACUGAAAAAUUCAUAAAUCAGUAAGAAAUAACUUAGUGAACUGAAACAUCUUAUUAACUAAAGGAAAAAAAAGCAAACGCGAUUUCCUGAGUAGCGGCGAGCGAAACGGAAUUAGUCUAAACUGAAAAUUUAGUUCAGGGUUGUGGGAAGUUAAAAUUCAAAAGAAAGUUUAAGCAGCUGAAACCUGCACCAUAGAUGGUGAAAGUCCAGUUUUCUUUCAAAAAAAACAAUAUCCCGAGUAGCUUGGGACACGUGAAAUCCCUUGUGAAUCAACGAGGACCACCUCGUAAGACUAAAUACUCUUGAGUCACUGAUAGUGAAAAGUACCGUGAGGGAAAGGUGAAAAAGAACCCCUAUAGGGGAGUGAAAUAGAUUAUGAAACCUAAGGCAAUCAAUCUGUGGGAGAUACCGCAGUGGUAGGCCUCCCCUGUAGGGGACAGGCUCUGCUUAUUGUGAAUAAUAUUGACCGCAUGCCUGUUGAAGAAUGAGCCGGCGACUUCGAAUUUCUGGCAUGGUUAAAGAAAUUUUCUGUAGCCAAAGUGAAAACAAGUCUAAAAAGGCGUUGAGUGUCAUCAAUUCGAGACCCGAACCCGAGUGAUCUAACCAUGACCAGGAAGAAGCUAAGGUAAAGCUUAGUGGAUGUCCGAACCGACCGAUGUUGAAAAAUCGACGGAUGAGUUGUGGUUAGCGGUGAAAUGCCAAUCGAACUCGGAGCUAGCUGGUUCUCCCCGAAAUGCGUUUAGGCGCAGCAAUUGUCGAAGCACUAUUAAGAGGUAGAGCACUGUUUCGGUACGGGCCAGUCAAAUGGUACCAAACUGUCACAAACUCCGAAUGCUUAAUAAAAAUAAAAGUUUGCCGACAAUACGUGAGACUUUGGGGGAUAAGCUCCAAAGUCGAAAGGGAAACAGCCCAGACCAUCGGCUAAGGCCCCUAAAUAAUUGCUAAGUGUUAAAGGAAGUUUCAACGCAGAAACAGCCAGAAGGUUCGCUUAGAAGCAGCUAUCCUUGAAAGAAUGCGUAAUAGCUCACUGGUGAAUUUUUCUAGCGUAGAUGCGCCGAAAAUGUGCGGGACUAAGCAAUUUGCCGAAGCUAUGGGAGACUUAAGUUUAGUCUCGGUAGGGGAGCGUUCUGUUUUUAGAGGUGAAGACUCAUUGUAAAAGAGGUUGGAUCAAACAGAAGUGAGAAUGUCGGCUUGAGUAACGCAAACAUUGGUGAGAAUCCAAUGCCCCGAAAACCUAAGGUUUCCUCUACAAGGCUCGUCCAUGGAGGGUUAGUCAGGACCUAAGAUAAGGCUGAAAAGCGUAAUCGAUGGAAAACAGGCAAAUAUUCCUGUACUUAUUUGAAUUUGGUGACAAAUGACGAAGGAGGCAAAAUUUGUCCCUGACCGCAUUCCUGUCGCUUAGCUUCCGAAGGAAGGUAAGGGACAGCGUAGGUCAGCGGUAGUUGCAAAUGGUUGCAAUGGAAAUGUUCGACAUAGGGUUAAAGAAAAAAAACUUUAUCCAUUAAAUAUGAAGGCAUGAUCCAACAGUUUCUCUUUUUUGAGACAAUUGUUCAAAAGAGUUUUGUCAAACUUCCAAGAAAAGUUUGUGACACCUUACAAUUUUAAUAACCUGUACCUUAAACCAACACAGGUAGGUGGGUUGAGUAUACUCAGGGGCGCGAGAUAACUCUCUCUAAGGAACUCGGCAAAAUAGCCCCGUAACUUCGGGAGAAGGGGUGCCUCUACAAAUAGAGGUCGCAGUGAAAUGAUUCUUUGAACUGUUUAUCAAAAACACAAGUUUCCGCAAAGUCGUAAGACAACGUAUGGGAGCUGACGCCUGCCCAGUGCCGAAAUUCCUUGUCACGUAAGUUGUGACCCGCACGAAAGGCGUAAUCAAAAGAGUACUGUCUCGGAGAGAGACUCGGUGAAAUAGACAUGUUCGUGAAGAUGCGAACUUCUAAUAGUUAGACAGAAAGACCCCGGAAGCUUGACUGUAUCUUGAUAUUGGGUUCCAGUUGUUUUUGCGCAGUCUAGGUGGGAGGCUAAGAAAUUAAGUUUGCGGAUUUAAUUGAGCCGUUCUUGAGAGACCACUCUCAAAUAACUAGAAUUCUAAAAGUGUUUCCUUGAAGCAGGACACUUAACAGUGUCAGGGGGGCAGUUUUUUUGGGGCGAAAACCUCCUAAAAAGUAACGGAGGUUUGCAAAGGUUUCCUCAGACUGGACGGAAAUCAGUUGUUGAGUAUAAAGGCAAAAGGAAGCUUGACUGCAAGACUUAUAAGUCGAGCAGAGGCGAAAGCCGGCCUUAGUGAUCCGACGGUAAACCACGUGGAAGGGCCGUCGCACAAAAGAUAAAAGUUACUCCGGGGAUAACAGGCUCAUCUUCCCCAAGAGUUCACAUCGACGGGAAGGUUUGGCACCUCGAUGUCGACUUUUCGCAACCUGGGGCGGUAGUACGUCCCAAGGGUUGGGCUGUUCGCCCAUUAAAGCGGAACACGAGUUGGGUUCCGUGAGACAGUUUGGUCCAUAUCUGCUAUUAGCGAUAGAAUAUUGAGAGGAUUUUUCCAUAAUACGAGAGGACUUGGAAGAACAUACCACUGGUGUACCAGUUCUUACACCCAUAGGAAACGCUGGGUAGCUAUGUAUGGAGAAGAGUACCGCUGAAGGCAUCUAAGUGAGAAGCUCACCUCAAGAUGAAUAUUCUCUAGAAAAGACUCCGGCAAGAUCAGCCGGUUGAUAGGUUUCAAGUUUAAGAUUUGUAAAAAUUUGAGCUAAGAAAUACUAAUUGAUCAAUUGUUUUUGAU
rnacentral:rRNA from 1 species